UCUCAACCACAAAACAACUUUUCCUCUCUUUCAUUCUGGAUUUGUAGCUCUGAAGAACUUCGGUUUUUAGGUCAUCUGCGAGAUUUGGAAGCAUCGAUCUCAUAGAGACUCUUUUACAAGUAGAAGAAAAAGCUGUUCGAUUCGCUUAAGAAGUAGAAACUCUCCAUUUUAAGAAGUAGAAAAAGACGCUGUUCGAUUCGCUUGAGUUUUUGAUUUUGGAGUUAUGGAGCAGCAGCAGAAUAAGAACAUGGUUGAAGAAAACAUCGGAGAAGAAGAGAUUCUUCACGGCCCUUUCCCUGUUGAACAGCUUCAGAGCCACUGUUGCUCAACAAAGAGAGCUCCACAAACCCAAGUCUGAUAGAUCUUGUAUACAUCUGGAGUUUGAAUAUCGGGCUCUUCCCUUGUAUAUGAGACUGGAGAUCAUAUUGGUGUUUAUGCUGAGAACUUCGAUGAAACUGUCGACGAAGCAGGGAAGAUGUUGGGUCAACCCCUGGAUUUGUUGUUCUCAUUUCACACAGAUAAAGAAGAUGGUUCACCGAAGGGGGGAAGCUCAUUACCACCUCCUUUCCCAGGCUUCUCUGAUUGCUCUGUCUGCUCAUGCAUCUGUACCUAGUGAAGCAGAGAGACUGCGGUUUUUGUCAUCACCUCUGAGACAGUCUAAGCCAUUCAAGAUCUAUACUAAUCAUCUAGGUUUAUUGCUUUUUGUUUUAUUUGUGGUGUUGAUAUAAUCUGUGAGAUUUGACUUAAGGUUCUUUUGUGAUUUCUCAGGGGUAUGACAUCUAUAUUUGUGCUUUAGGUGGACUUCUGCAAGAUAGAAAUAUAGUGCUUUUCAUCUGCAAUGUUCCUAUAAAAGAAGAAAAUGAGGGGUACCCUUCUUUCCUUGGUUACACAUCAUUCAGCUAAUUAGGUUUUGGUACUACUUUUGCUAGAGAGGUAGGUUAUUGUGGCAUAUUUCAAUGCAACCUGUGUUUCUCUUUUCCAUGGAUGAAAACUUUGCUAGUUUUAGUUUUUUAUGUCACUUAAUAUUUAGAUUCCUUUUUCAAGAAUGUGUUUGAGAGAUCUGGAUGGCAAUUCACUCCAGACAGGCUACAUUGUUCUUCUGAAUAACAUCAAAGCAACGUCUUGCAAGAUGUUAUUCUUCUCAUACAUGAUUGAAGACAAUGGUCAUGGUAUCCUCUUUUAAGUUGAGUUCCUUGUACGUAUCCACCAGCAGAUGCAAACCAAAAUAUCAUGAGCCCCUUGUUGAUGAUGGUUCCUUCGUCAACCUUGGAAUUUUGCAUUGUAGCUUUGGAACAUGGUGUGUUAUAGAUUGAUACGAAGUAUGAGUUUGGGAAGGGAGCUGAUGAAACAAUUUAUCUGAUUGACGAGGUUCUUCAUCAUCUUGGUCGUAUUUACUAGACGAGAAUUCAGCAUCCUUGUGUGAUCAUCCUCUCAAAGCCACAAUAAUUUGCUGCAUUCUGAUUACUGAUCACUGUAAGAGAUUGUAACAUUCUGUUUCUAUAUGCAAUCCUUAGAAGCUAAAACAAACAUAGUAGCACCAACACAAUGUAAGAAACAAGAACAUAUUUGCAUAUGCAAUCUUUCAGUUGUACAAUUUGACACUUGAUUUUCUUAAAGCAACCUGUAACAUGUCUUUGAUGUCA